GUACAUCUUUGCCACCAUCGGGAUGCGUCAUCCACUGACUCUGGGCCGGCGCCACAUCCGCACUCAAAUGCAAUGACCGACGGGGGAUCGAGCGUGCAAAAUAAUUGCGAAGAGGUUUCUCGGAUCCGCUAACGCCCGCGAAACUUUUCAUCGACAUGGCUGUGAAUGCUACCCAUCUACGGGUCACUGUUGCUGCCUCUCCACCGUGGGUAAGAGCGAAGUACGAAGAUGGCGAAUAUCACGUGUCCGGCAUAUUCGGUCACCUCCUGCAGGCGCUCGCUGACUUCGUUCCCUUCAG